GUGAGGGGUGAAACUGGCCCCCCAUGGGUAGCCGCAGUCUGCCAGGGCCUCCCCCAGGAUCCCCAGCCACCUCCCCUAUGCAGGAGCAUGCAGAGGCUGGGGUCAGGUUUGGCUUGCCCUGGAGCACAGGAAAUGCCCCAUUUACACAUGGACCGGAGGCCAGUGUCUUUCGCACCAGGAUCCCGGCCCCCAGGCUCAGAACUUGAAUAUCUGGGCCAUGCUCUCCAGGAGUCUCUCUGAGAACCAGGCCAAAGUAGCUGCUUAUGGUCUAGGAUACACCUAAAAUAGGAGUGGGGGCGGCCUGAGAGGUGAAUUUCCCUGGGCUGGUGCAUGGGCUGGGCUUGUCCUGGAGCCUCCAGUGCCGGCACUCAUACAGGGCCCCCUGCCGGGGCCAGGAGAAAGCCGUUGCUGUGUGUAGCCUGGAGAGUGCGUCGUCACGUGACAGAUGCUUGUAGCCACCCGGGACCUGCGAAAAGCCUGCAGCUGGUGAUGCUCCCCUCCCACCAAGGGGUGCAGAGCUGGAGGAUUGCUCAUAAAUUGUUCCUGCCCUGUCCAAUAAAUAAAAUAUGCCUUCUGGGGCGCA
ensembl:lncRNA novel transcript